ensembl:misc_RNA Metazoa_SRP Metazoan signal recognition particle RNA
GCUGGGCAUAGUGGCGCAUGCUUGUAGUCCCAGCUACUUGGGAAGCUGAGGCAGGAGAAUCACUUGAAUCCAGGAGGCAGAGGUUGCAGUGAGCAGAGAUCAUGCCACUGCACUCCAACCUGGGUGACAGAGUGAGACACUGUCUCUC